UACGGAGGGUGCGAGCGUUACCCGGAUUUACUGGGCGUAAAGGGCGUGUAGGCGGUCUUUCAAGUCCGAUGCUAAAGUCUGGGGCUCAACCCCAGGACUGCGUUGGAUACUGUGAGGCUAGACGGUCGGAGGGGGUAGCGGAAUUUCCGGAGUAGCGGUGAAAUGCGCAGAUACCGGAAGGAACGCCAAUAGCGAAGGCAGCUACCUGGACGACUUGUGACGCUGAGGCGCGAAAGCGUGGGGAGCAAACCGG
rnacentral:rRNA from 1 species